ACACGCAUGACACACUGCAUAUCAAUAAGCGGAGGAAAAGAAACUAACAAGGAUUCCCUUAGUAACGGCGAGUGAAGCGGGAAGAGCUCAAAUUUGAAAUCUUCAAGGUUCUACCUUGACGAAUUGUAGUUUAUAGAAGUGUUUUCUGUUAGUAGAGUGGCAAAAGUUCUUUGGAAUAGGACAUCAUAGAGGGUGAGAAUCCCGUAUUUGGUCAUUCCUUCUAGCUUUGUGAUACACUUUCAACGAGUCGGAUUGUUUGGGAAUGCAGUCCAAAAUGGGUGGUAAAUUUCAUCUAAAGCUAAAUAUUGGCGAGAGACCGAUAGCGAACAAGUACCGUGAGGGAAAGAUGAAAAGAACUUUGAAAAGAGAGUUAAACAGUACGUGAAAUUGUCAAAAGGGAAGCGUUUGACACCAGUGUUGUUUUUCCGAAAAUCAAUUACGAAUGUUUUGUUUUUAAGAAGUUAUGACUUCAUCGGCUUGCUUCUUUCUUUACGAAACUUUCUUAAUGCACUUUUCGGUUAACAAGUCAACAUCAAUUUCUUUUGUUGUAAAAGGGUAUGAGGAAGGUGGCUUUCUUUUCGGAGAAAGUGUUUAUAGCCUUGUGCCUCUGCAAUCGGAGAGAUUGAGGUCUGCAGCGUAGAUCCUUCGGGGUUAGAUGCAUUUGUGCUAAGUUAUAGCCUUUCAUAGACAACUUGUUGACUAUGAUCAGUCAUGUAGCUUACUCGCUUAUGCUAUUUUACCUACGCUUAGGAUGUUGA
rnacentral:rRNA from 1 species